rnacentral:rRNA from 1 species
CGAGUUACGUUAAGUAGCAAGGUUAAGCACUUAAGGUGUGGAGCCGUAGCGAAAGCGAGUUUUAACUGAGCGUUCAGUUACUUGACGUAGACCCGAAACCGGGCGACCUACCCAUGAGCAGGAUGAAGCGAAAGUAAAAUUUCGUGGAGGUCCGAACCCACGAGCGUUGAAAAGCUCGGGGAUGACUUGUGGGUAGCGGUGAAAUUCCAAUCGAGCCCGGAGAUAGCUGGUUCUCCCCGAAAUAGCUUUAGGGCUAGCCUCAAGGUGAGAGAUACGGAGGUAGAGCACUGAAUGUCCUAGGGGGUAUUGCACCUACCGAAGACUAUCAAACUCCGAAUGCCGUCAUCUUAUACUUGGGAGUCAGACUGUGGGUGAUAAGAUUCAUAGUCGAAAGGGCAACAGCCCAGAUCGUCAGCUAAGGUCCCUAAAUGUAAGUUAAGUGGUAAAGGAUGUGGGAUUGCACAGACAACCAGGAUGUUGGCUUAGAAGCAGCCACUCAUUCAAAGAGUGCGUA